CAGUAGCCACGGUAAUACGUAGGUGGCAAGCGUUGUCCGGAAUUAUUGGGCGUAAAGGGCUCGCAGGCGGUUUCUUAAGUCUGAUGUGAAAGCCCCCGCCUCAACCGGGGAGGGUCAUUGGAAGCUGGGAAACUUGAGUGCAGAAGAGGAGAGUGGAAUUCCACGUGUAGCGGUGAAAUGCGUAGAGAUGUGGAGGAACACCAGUGGCGAAGGCGACUCUCUGGUCUGUAACUGACGCUGAGGAGCGAAAGCGUGGGGAGCGAACAGGAUUAGAUACCCGCGUAGUCCCUGUCUCUUAUAC
rnacentral:rRNA from 1 species